GAUGAACGCUGGCGGCGUGCCUAAUACAUGCAAGUCGAGCGAACGGACGAGAAGCUUGCUUCUCUGAUGUUAGCGGCGGACGGGUGAGUAACACGUGGAUAACCUACCUAUAAGACUGGGAUAACUUCGGGAAACCGGAGCUAAUACCGGAUGAUAUUUUGAACCGCAUGGUUCAAAAGUGAAAGACGGUCUUGCUGUCACUUAUAGAUGGAUCCGCGCUGCAUUAGCUAGUUGGUAAGGUAACGGCUUACCAAGGCAACGAUGCAUAGCCGGCCUGAGAGGGUGGUCGGCCACCCUGGAACUGAGACACGGUCCAGACUCCUACGGGCGGCAGCAGUAGGGAAUCUUCCGCAAUGGGCGAAAGCCUGACGGAGCAACGCCGCGUGAGUGAUGAAGGUCUUCGGAUCGUAAAACUCUGUUAUUAGGGAAGAACAUAUGUGUAAGUAACUGUGCACAUCUUGACGGUACCUAAUCAGAAAGCCACGGCUAACUACGUG
rnacentral:rRNA from 1 species